rnacentral:rRNA from 1 species
UGGGGAAUUUUGGACAAUGGGCGCAAGCCUGAUCCAGCCAUGCCGCGUGAGUGAAGAAGGCCUUCGGGUUGUAAAGCUCUUUCGGCGGGGACGAAACGGUCCGUGCCAACACCACGGACUAAUGACGGUACUCGCAGAAGAAGCACCGGCUAACUACGUGCCAGCAGCCGCGGUAAUACGUAGGGUGCGGGCGUUAAUCGGAAUUACUGGGCGUAAAGCGUGCGCAGGCGGCUCCUUAAGUCAGAUGUGAAAUCCCCGGGCUUAACCUGGGAACUGCGUUUGAAACUGAGGGGCUUGAGUGUGGAAGAGGGGGGUGGAAUUCCAGGUGUAGCAGUGAAAUGCGUAGAGAUCUGGAGGAACACCGAUGGCGAAGGCAGCCCCCUGGGCUAACACUGACGCUCAUGCACGAAAGCGUGGGGAGCAAACAGGAUUAGAUACCCUGGUAGUCCACGCCCUAAAACGAUGUCAACUGGUUGUCGGGGAAGCAAUUCC